GGGGGUGCUUGUGGGUGUGGGGUUGCCCGAGACUGCAGUGCCUCUGUGUCCCCAGGCGUCUGGCCAAGUCCACCCUCCUGCUGAUCCCCCUCUUUGGAAUCCACUACAUCAUCUUCGCCUUCUCCCCCGAGGAUGCCAUGGAGAUCCAGCUGUUUUUUGAAUUGGCCCUUGGCUCAUUCCAGGGCCUGGUGGUGGCCGUCCUCUACUGCUUCCUCAAUGGGGAGGUGCAGCUGGAAGUUCAGAAGAAGUGGCGGCAGUGGCACCUCCGUGAGCUCCCAUUGCGGCCCAUGGCCCCCAGCUCCUCCUUCAGCAACGGCAUCAAGGCCAGCACCUCGGAGCAGAGUCGGGCCACCCAUAGGACCAGUGUCAUCUGAGGCUGGUCACCCUAGGUCCUGAGGGCUGACCGCUGCAGUAGGAGAGCCUGCCUUUCUGCCGGAUGCAGUGUGGUCUCUCCAGUGACUAUUACACCCCUCCUUCUGGCCUUGGGGUGGGGUUGUGGUGAUGAUUCCUCAGAACUGAUGGGGCCUGGGACAGCAAAAGGGCCUGGGAUUCAGAUCUGUUGAGUUUCCUGGAAAGAGUAGUUCAGGGGUCCCAGGAGAGGGCAGGGGAAUAAAUGGUAACUGGGAUGAGACUUGGUGUUUGUC
rnacentral:lncRNA from 1 species